rnacentral:rRNA from 1 species
GGGGGUUCCGUGGUAGGAGAGCGUUCUAAGGGCAUCGAAGCCAGAUCGUGAGGACUGGUGGAGCGCUUAGAAGUGAGAAUGCCGGUAUGAGUAGCGCAAGACGGGUGAGAAUCCCGUCCACCGAAUAACUAAGGUUUCCUGGGGAAGGCUCGUCCUCCCAGGGUUAGUCGGGACCUAAGCUGAGGCCGAUAGGCGUAGGCGAUGGACAACAGGUUGAUAUUCCUGUACCAGUUGCUUUUGUUUGAGCGAUGGAGGGACGCAGGAGGCUAAGGAAUGCACACGAUCGGAAAUGUGUGUCCAAGCAGCAAGUCUGAGAACGAGUGAAAUGCUUUUUCUCUCAAGGACAAGCUGUGAUGGGGAGCGAAAUUUAGUAGCGAAGUUCCUGAUGUCACACUGCCAAGAAAAGCUUCUAGUGAGAAAGUAACUGCCCGUACCGCAAACCGACACAGGUAGUUGAGGAGAGAAUCCUAAGGUGUGCGAGAGAACUCUCGUUAAGGAACUCGGCAAGAUGACCCCGUAACUUCGGGAGAAGGGGUGCUGACCGCAAGGUCAGCCGCAGUGAAUAGGCCCAAGCGACUGUUUAUCAAAAACACAGGUCUCUGCAAAAUCGAAAGAUGACGUAUAGGGGCUGACGCCUGCCCGGUGCUGGAAGGUUAAGAGGAGAGGUUAGCGCAAGCGAAGCUUUGAAUUGAAGCCCCAGUAAACGGCGGCCGUAACGAUAACGGUCCUAAGGUAGCGAAAUUCCUUGUCGGGUAAGUUCCGACCCGCACGAAAGGCGUAACGAUUUGGGCACUGUCUCAACGAGAGACUCGGUGAAAUUAUAGUACCAGUGAAGAUGCUGGUUACCCGCGACAGGACGGAAAGACCCCAUGGAGCUUUACUGCAGUUUGAUAUUGCGUGUUUGUAUCACAUGUACAGGAUAGGUAGGAGCCGAAGAUACCGGGACGCCAGUCUCGGAGGAGGCAACGGUGGGAUACUACCCUUGUGAUAUGACCACUCUAACCCGCUGCUCUUAGCGAGCAGGGAGACAGUGUCAGACGGGCAGUUUGACUGGGGCGGUCGCCUCCAAAAAUGUAACGGAGGCGCCCAAAGGUUCCCUCAGAAUGGUUGGAAAUCAUUCGUAGAGUGUAAAGGCAGAAGGGAGCUUGACUGCGAGACCUACAAGUCGAGCAGGGACGAAAGUCGGGCUUAGUGAUCCGGUGGUUCCGCAUGGAAGGGCCAUCGCUCAACGGAUAAAAGCUACCCUGGGGAUAACAGGCUUAUCUCCCCCAAGAGUUCACAUCGACGGGGAGGUUUGGCACCUCGAUGUCGGCUCAUCGCAUCCUGGGGCUGUAGUCGGUCCCAAGGGUUGGGCUGUUCGCCCAUUAAAGCGGUACGCGAGCUGGGUUCAGAACGUCGUGAGACAGUUCGGUCCCUAUCCGUCGCGGGCGUUGGAAAUUUGAGAGGAGCUGUCCUUAGUACGAGAGGACCGGGAUGGACACACCGCUGGUGUACCAGUUGUUCUGCCAAGAGCAUCGCUGGGUAGCUAUGUGUGGACGGGAUAAACGCUGAAAGCAUCUAAGCGUGAAGCCCCCCUCAAGAUGAGAUUUCCCAUCACUUUAAGUGAGUAAGACCCCUGAGAGAUGAUCAGGUAGAUAGGUUGGGAGUGGAAGUACAGCGAUGUAUGGAGCGGACCAAUACUAAUCGGUCGAGGACUUAAUC